AAAGACUUUAGCUCCCAAAUACAUCCUCCAGCUCCUCUCAGUAUGUAUUACAGAGCAAGUGAGGGGGAGAGGAAAUCCUGAAGUUUUAUUUGGGACUGGGAGUUGGGAGUACUGAGGAUUGGAGCUAGGAUUUGGACAAGCUAGGCAAAUGCUCUGUGGCUACACCCCUUCUUCCCCAAGUUUUCAGUUAAAACUUUACAUGCCUCUAAUUCCAUCCAGCACUCAGGAAGCAAAGGUAAGUGGGUCUCUGUGGCAUUCACCUGGUCUGCAAGUCAAUUCCAUGCAGCUACAGCUACAUAGUGAGAACAUGUCUUUAAGCAAAGCAGCAACAAAACUUUAAUAUUCUGUAUUCAGAAGAAUGUGGCUUUACUUGUUUAUUUCUCCAUUAUUAACUCUCAUAUAAUCCCAUACAUACUUAUGGGGUGCAUUGUGAUAAUUCCAUCCAAAUAUACCAUGUAUAAGGUGUGUAUAAUGCCACAGUCACCGUACUGUCCAUGAACAGCAGAGCUUCCGCCCCUCAUCCAGUCUGCUCUUCCUCAGGAUCUGCAUUGUCUCUAUCGAGUGUAUUCUCUAUUCCAAAUCUGUUCCAGGAGUCAAGGUUCGCAUUAGUGCAGACCUGUCCAUACUUGUCCCGUUUGUCUCUGGCUCCUGAGCUUCUAUCACACUGUACUUUUCUUUAAACUAGCUACUCCCUGUCUCUCUGCUUUUCGUUAAAUGAAGGUAAGGCUCGCUUGCUUUUCCUCGGUUUUUAAUUGAAGAUCUGGUUUUAAUGGGUGAUACACAGUACACAUCUCAUAUAGUAGACUGGGAAAAGGAAGCAGAGGAAGAAAACCCUGCACAAGCCCAGCUGUGGGGGACACCUGCACUGCCUGGCUCCUAACAAAGAACAUAGACAGUUACUUCUCCAUCCCAGUGGGACCAUGCCACUUGGACAUGUGAACUUGCAUGAUCUCUUGUUAUCAAGAACACAGUAGGAACCAGUGGGGGUGGGGGUGAGAGAGGCAUGUGUAUCAUGGCGAAGUCAAAGUCUUGCCAGGAGUUGGUUCUCAUCUUCUGCCAUAUGGGAUUGAACUGAGAUCACUAGGGUUACCAGCAACUGCCUUUACACAUGGAGCCAUCCUGAGGGCUGCAAGAGCUGAUUUGAAGAUUGCCCUCUGUCCUGAAAGCAUAUGUCUACCCUCAGCCCCAAAUGCUUACAAAACAAAAAACAUAAGAUUUCUAUUUGAGACAAAAAGCUCUGAUUUCUUGGGGGUUACAUUGGGAGUUUUAAAUACCACUAAUAGCUGUCUACAGCCCAGACCUAGCCAUACUUGAGUUCUGAGAUAGGCUUAAAGCACCCACCUUGCCAGAGGGCUUCCCUGCUGCUUCUGCUGAGCUAGGUUGUGCAGUAGGUUGGAGCCGGCUCAUCUCUCACACAUCUGUUCCCUUUUACUGCCAAGGAAAUGCUGGUCCUACCCAGCAAGGAGCCAACUUUUGUUAAAAUCCACUAAUUAGAUAACUGCUUCCCUGAGCAGUUGCGGGAACUUCUUUACUGACAGCCAUUAGCAUGGUUUGGAUCCUCUGACUAGAUGACAGUCAGCACUCUAAAUUGCUUAGGGUGUUGGUUUCCAAAUAUUGACUGCAAGAUGUCUUAGUCGUUUCUGUUUACUGGGGUUAAUUACUUUAAGUAUUUUUUGAGGUUUAUGUAUAUGAAUGUGUGCCACAUGAGAGCUUAGGAGUUAGUUACAGAUGGCUGUGAGCCACCAUGUAGGCGCUGAGAAUUGAACCCAGGCCCUUUGCAAAUUCUCUUAACCACUGAAACUCGCCAUUUCUUCAGCUUCUAAUAUGUAUAAUUUCUUUAUGGAACUACUAAGUUCUGUCAGUGUAUGGCUUCUUAAAGUGGGGUCUUUCUGCAUUCUAGAACUGGCUGUGUAGCCUAAGCUGGCCUCAAACUCAACAUCUUUCUCCUAAAGCCUCUUGAGUCCUAGGGUUAUAGUGUGGGCGCCACCACAGAGGUUAGUUUAAUAUUCGUACGACGCGUCUAUGUGGUUAUCAUCCUCCUUUCUUCCUCAAAUUCUCAGUGACCCCUGCACUUACUAAGGCCUUUGGAUGUGUGAUUUAUGUUCUGCUAAACUAAAGCAGGAGAGUUAGUUUCACUCUGAGAAAAAUAGAGAUUAAAUGGAGAGAUAAGCAAAGCUAAUAUAGAGACAUGAAGAAUUUACAGACGUCUUGGUAAUGUUUUGAACUUCAACAAGACAUGAGAUGGAGAAGACAGUCUCUGUUAGUCUUAGUGAGUACAUCAGACCACGUUUUGUUUGUAACCUAUAAUUUGUAGUUGGUGCAUUUUUUUGGAAAGAAAAAAUGAAUAGAAAGUUCUCUUUAGGAUGGCCUAGUUGGCCAUCAAUGGGAAGAGAGGCCCCUUGGUCUUGCAAAUAUCAUAUGCCCCAGUACAAGGGAAUGGCAGGGCCGGGAAGCUGGAGUGGGUGAAUUGGGGAGCAUGGUGGUGGUGGGGGGAAGGUAUAGGGGACUUUCAGGAUAGCAUUUAAAAUGUAAACGAAGAAAAUAGCU
rnacentral:lncRNA from 1 species